UCUGUCCCGGGGUAGGCGGCCGAGCGGCACGGGAGCACUUGGACGAGGCCGAGAAGAACAGGCCUUACCCCGGCCCCCAGCCGCUGAGCCACGCAUGAUUAGGAAGGAGAGCAGGAGGAAAAGAUGGCUCUCCCCUCCCCCAGCCCGGAGCACAGGAGUGCAGAGCAGCCGGAGCAGAGGCAGGCAACCACUUGGACAGGCCCCUGAACCCACACUCGGCCCCGUCCUGAACCACUGGGCUGCAGCGCCACGCUUGGGGCUCUCCCCUCCGAUGCAGCAGUCUGAAAGUCUCGGAUGCCCAACGAUUUUGCACCCGCCCGCCGUCACUCUCGCCUCUCCCACUAGACGGGCACGCCCUCUGUGGACGGACACCUCCCUCCCCCUCACUGGAUCCCCAGCACGAGCACCCUCGUGGGCGAAGGGACCUGUGCCAAGCGAGGAGGAGUCACAAGGCCCUGCCACGGACGGCCCCCCCGCUGCCCACAGAUGACACAGGAACCCUGGGGCUGGCAUUCUGGUCUGGAGCUUCUCAGAACAUGGCCCCCAACAAGCCUUUGCCACUUCCUUGGGCCCCCUCACUGCAGCCUGCCUCUCCCGCCCAACUGGGCCCCUCCUUCCCUUCCCCAGCCUUGUGCCUUCAUUCACAACAGUGAACGAGCCCCACCCCAUCCACUACCAGGAUAUCCCUGCCUCCAAGGGCCAGAUGGAAGCGGGGCACAGGAACUGGCUCAGGAUAGACCCAGAAUACCUUCUGGGGAUCCAAUGUACUCAGGAACAAGUAAUUUAAACCACUGCCUUAACUUAAAACAAGCCCGGCUAAAUUAAACUGUUAAGUGAAAACAAGCAAGGCCAUGGAGUCAAAUGCAAAAUGCAGAUGAAUUGUAGGAUGAGAAGUGAGGUUUCAGGGAGGCCUGCUGC